GCCAUUGUAAUGGUCCUUAUGCACCCCCAUAGCCAUGUUAGGAACAGGAGGAGAACCUCAUCCUAACAUGAGCAAAAUUAAAGGCCCGAUUAUUUAGAGAUCGGAUGGGGAGAGAGGCCCUCGCAACGGCCUUUAUGUACCCCCGCAGCCCUGUUAGGAAUAAGAGAAAGACCUCAUCCUAACAUGAGCUCAAAUUGAUUGUGUCGGAAACAGGAGGAGAACCUCAUCCUGACACAAACGAAGAUCUGGUCGUUUGAGAUCGGAUGAAGGAAAAAGCCCCUCAGCAACUCCUCUACACCCCUACAAUCCCAUUAGGAGCGGAAGGAAAACCCUCACCCUAACACAAAAAAAAAAGAAAAAAUGAAGAGCUACACC
rnacentral:lncRNA from 1 species